rnacentral:lncRNA from 1 species
UUAGAGAGAAGAACUUGAAGAAUUAAGGAUUGGAGUGAACUUAGGAGCUAAAUUGAAGCCUAAGUUGGGAUUAAUCUUCAUCUAAGGUAAGGGGGUUAGUCUUUAUCAUAAUCAUUUAGUUAAUUCUUUUUCUCUUGUUCUAUGCAUAAUUGAUUAUGGGAAUAAGUGAUUAUCAUGAACCCAAUCUUUGAAAUUCGUGCUUAUGUUGUAGAGGUUUGUUUUAAUAUGUUAAUUUGAUGUUAAAUGAAUUGUUGAUGAUGAAAUUGCAAGUUCAUGAUGUAUGAAAAUGGGUAGUUUGUAAAUUAUGCUCAAUUGGUGAAUUAUGCAUGGUUGUUGAUGAAUUGUGAUAUGUUUCAUGAUCAAUAGAUGUUGUUGUUGUUAAGUGAUGUUAUG